rnacentral:rRNA from 1 species
UACGGAGGGUGCAAGCGUUAUCCGGAUUCACUGGGUUUAAAGGGUGCGUAGGCGGGUGCUCAAGUCCGUGGUGAAAUCCUCCGGCUCAACCGGAGAACUGCCUCGGAUACUGGGCGUCUCGAGUGUGGUAGGGGUAUGCGGAACUAUCGGUGGAGCGGUGAAAUGCGUUGAUAUCGAUAGGAACUCCGGUGGCGAAGGCGGCAUACUGGACCACCACUGACGCUGAUGCGCGAAAGCCAGGGGAGCAAACGGG